rnacentral:rRNA from 1 species
GCGCGAAAACUUUACAAUGCUGGCAACAGCGAUAAGGGAACCUCGAGUGCCAGGUUACAAAUCUGGCUGUCGAGAUGCCUAAAAAGCAUUUCAUAGCAAGGGCCGGGCAAGACCGGUGCCAGCCGCCGCGGUAACACCGGCGGCUCGAGUGGUAACCGCUAUCAUUGGGUCUAAAGGGUCUGUAGCCGGCCGGAUAAGUCUCUUGAGAAAUCUGGCAGCUUAACUGGCAGGCUUUCAGGAGAUACUGUCUGGCUCGAGGCCGGGAGAGGUGAGAGGUACUUCAGGGGUAGGGGUGAAAUCUUGUAAUCCUUGAAGGACCACCAGUGGCGAAGGCGUCUCACCAGAACGGACCUGGCGGCAAGGGACGAAAGCUAGGGGCACGAACCG